GGAUAAUAUGCAGUGUAUAUGUGACAACGGUUAUUGCUUCGUAUACUUAGUGGCCUACAGCUCUACAGGCCUGCGACCCAUAGGCCCGGAUCUCUCAUGCAGGCUCUCAUGAAAAUUUACGGCAUGUAACAUAUAUCAGGCUUUGUCAAGGUGCAACAUUACACUCUUAUAUGGGGUCAGUGUGUCUGGGAUAUGCAAUGGGUUUGUAAUGGUGACCUGUCAGUUUCUCUAUUGAUUAAGACAUCAUGUGUGUAUGUGGUUAAGAGAAAAUUGUCACGCUGUGUGAGGUCUGAGCCGGGAGGCCCGAGAUGUGAAUUAUGCGUUCUCUGUCGUGCGUGUGCGGGUUAAGAGCCCUUGACCAAGGGGGUUGCGGGGGCGGGGGGGGUGUUCGGUCCGCCAUGUAGUGUGGUCCCUACGUCAUCCGACCAGGCCGGCUAUUUCUUAAAUUAGUUUGUCCUAUUAGAGGGUAGCAAUAGGGCAGCAGCUAGAGAUAUAUGACAGAUAUUAACUAUGAACAUAGAAAUAAGAGUGAACUUAAAUAAUGUAUUAACACAUGUGUAGACAAGUGUUCAUUCAGGGCUGUCUGCGCCCUGUGUGUUCAUCGAUCGUGGGACGAACGGUGGUAUGGACGCAGGGUCCCUCAUUGCCGCCUGUGAUGCCGAGGUGGAGGGCACAUCAGCUUGCGAUAGUCCCAAAGUUUCCAGGAAGGUCGGUGCAUCCGUCAUGGAUGUCAGGGUGUGUGUCGUCCCGCCUUGGGUCGUAGUCAGGGAACCAUUCAGUCCCCAUCUGUAUUGUAGCCCCGCAGCUCGCAGUUGUGCUGUCACCGUGCUGUAUGAUUUGCGGUGUAGGAGAGUGGCCCUUGUUAAGUCCUGGAAAAAAGUGAGACUUGCGGUUUCAAAAGUGAAGGGGGUUUUGCCCUUCAUAGCUGACAUAAUCUGUAUCUUGUCCGGUAGUGAGGUGCAGCGGAGGAUGACAUCUCGUAUCGCUGUGGACUUAAAGUGAGAAGGGCUUGGGAGGCGAUAAACGCUGUCGAUAGCUACUCUCUUUGCCUUUGCAUGUGGCAGGAUUGCGGCCAGCAGUCUCC